UACCAGACUCCUACGGGAGGCAGCAGUGGGGAAUAUUGCACAGUGGGGGAAACCCUGAUGCAGCGACGCCGCGUGAGUGAAGAAGUAUUUCGGUAUGUAAAGCUCUAUCAGCAGGAAAGAAAAUGACGGUACCUGACUAAGAAGCCCCGGCUAACUACGUGCCAGCAGCCGCGGUAAUACGUAGGGGGCAAGCGUUAUCCGGAUUUACUGGGUGUAAAGGGAGCGUAGACGGUGAAGCAAGUCUGAAGUGAAAGGCGGGGGCUCAACCCCCGGACUGCUUUGGAAACUGUUUGACUGGAGUGCAGGAGAGGUAAGUGGAAUUCCUAGUGUAGCGGUGAAAUGCGUAGAUAUUAGGAGGAGCACCAGUGGCGAAGGCGGCUUACUGGACUGUAAAUGACGCUGAGGCUCGAAAGCGUGGGGAGCAAACAGGAUUAGAUACCCUUGUA
rnacentral:rRNA from 1 species